GGCCGCCGCAGCAGCAGUAGAGCAGCCGCGUCGGUGCGUCUCGCAGUGCUCGACUUCGUCGGCGCAUCCGCUGUGUGGUGUGUGUGUGUGUGUGCCUUCGUCGUGUGUGUGUGUGUUUCGCGUGCGUGCGCGGCCUCUCCCUAGCCAGCCAGCUCGGCGCGAGCAGCAAGGUCGGCCGGCCCCCCGAUCAACAUCGACCAUGGGAGACGACGGAGGCGGCGGCGGCGAGGAGCAGCUGUCCGAGCAGUUCACUUCGGGAUUCCGGCUACGGGCGCGCAAGGGCGCCCUCAAGAAGAAGAACGUCUUUGAAGUGAAGGACCAUAAGUUCAUACCGCGCUUCUUCAAGCAGCCCACCUUCUGCUCGCACUGCAAGGAUUUCAUCUGGGGCUUUGGGAAGCAGGGAUACCAGUGCCAAAUAUGCAGCUUUGUCGUGCACAAGCGGUGUCACGAGUUCGUCACCUUCAAAUGUCCCGGCAAGGACAAGGGCGUCGAUUCGGACGAUGCACGUACCAAGCAUCAGUUCGUGCUGCAGACGUACACCAGUCCAACCUUCUGCGACCACUGUGGCUCGCUCUUGUAUGGCCUCAUCCAUCAGGGCUACAAAUGCAAAGCGUGCGACAUGAACGUGCACAAACGGUGCCAAGAGAGUGUGCCGAACCUUUGUGGCUGCGACCACACCGAACGGCGAGGGCGUAUCCACCUCAAGGUUUCGGCAACCACUACGCGGCUCACCUGUGAAGUGCGGCAGGCACGCAACCUGAUCCCGAUGGACCCCAAUGGCUUGUCGGACCCCUACGUCAAGCUCAAGCUGAUUCCCGAUAUGGGUGACUCGGCCAAACGGAAGACAAAGACCAUCAAGGCCUGCCUCAACCCCGAGUGGAAUGAGACACUCGUCUUCGACCUGAAACCCAUCGACAAAGAUCGGAGACUGCUUAUCGAGCUGUGGGACUGGGACCGGACGUCGCGUAACGACUUCAUGGGCUCCCUCUCGUUUGGCAUCUCGGAGAUUCUUAAGUCACCGGCCGAAGGCUGGUUCAAGCUUCUGACGGCUGAGGAGGGCGAAUUCUACAAUGUGCCCGUGCCACCGGAAAACCCGGCGCUCGCGCAGAGCACCACGCAUCAUCACCCGUCGAGGCCACGGCCGACACCGCAGGCCUCCUCGGACCUCAUCCCUCACAACAUGGGCAAGCAGGACGUCAUCCGGGCAUCCGACUUCAACUUCCUGCUCGUGCUGGGCAAGGGCAGCUUUGGCAAGGUCCUGCUGGCCGAGCGGCGAGGCACCGACGAGCUGUACGCUGUCAAGGUGCUCAAGAAGGAUGUCAUCAUCCAGGACGAUGACGUCGAAUGUGCCAUGGUUGAAAAGCGGGUGCUGGCGCUGGCAACCAAGCCCCCAUUCCUCGUGCAGCUGCACUCGUGCUUCCAGACGAUGGAACGACUCUACUUCGUCAUGGAGUACGUCAACGGCGGGGACCUCAUGUUUCAGAUCCAGCAGUGCGGCAAGUUCAAGGAGCCCGUGGCCGUCUUCUACGCCGCCGAGAUUGCCGUCGGACUCUUCUUCCUGCACUCGCGCUCUAUUGUGUAUCGCGACCUGAAGCUGGACAAUGUCCUGCUAGACCAGGACGGGCACAUCAAGAUCGCCGACUUCGGCAUGUGUAAGGAGGGCAUCCAGGGGGACAAGACCACAAAGACUUUCUGCGGCACGCCUGACUACAUCGCCCCCGAGGUGGGUCAAAAGGGCGAGUUUGAUCAUCCUGUACCAGCCGUACGGGAAGUCGGUGGACUGGUGGGCAUACGGAGUGCUCCUGUACGAGAUGCUGGUCGGGCAGCCACCCUUUGAUGGUGAGGACGAAGAAGAACUGUUUGCCUCCAUCACGGACCACAACGUCUCCUACCCCAAGGCGCUCUCCAAGGAAGCCAAGGAGGCCUGCAAAGGGUUUCUGACCAAGAACCCGGCACGGCGUCUGGGUUGUGGAUCAUCGGGCGAGGAGGAUGUGCGGACACACCCAUUCUUCCGUCGCAUCGACUGGGACAAGAUUGAGAACCGCGA
rnacentral:misc_RNA from 1 species